rnacentral:rRNA from 1 species
GUGGGGAAUCUUCCACAAUGGACGAAAGUCUGAUGGAGCAACGCCGCGUGAGUGAAGAAGGGUUUCGGCUCGUAAAGCUCUGUUGUCGGGGACGAAUGUGCAGUAUUUGAAUAAAGUAGUGCAAUGACGGUACCUGACGAGGAAGCCACGGCUAACUACGUGCCAGCAGCCGCGGUAAUACGUAGGUGGCAAGCGUUGUCCGGAAUUAUUGGGCGUAAAGGGAGCGCAGGCGGGAAGGUAAGUCGGUCUUAAAAGUGCGGGGCUCAACCCCGUGAUGGGAUCGAAACUAUCUUUCUUGAGUGCAGGAGAGGAAAGUGGAAUUCCUAGUGUAGCGGUGAAAUGCGUAGAUAUUAGGAGGAACACCAGUGGCGAAGGCGACUUUCUGGACUGUACCUGACGCUGAGGCGCGAAAGCGUGGGUAGCGAACAGGAUUAGAUACCCUUGUAGUCC